UGCCAGACUCCUACGGGAGGCAGCAGUGAGGAAUAUUGGUCAAUGGACGAGAGUCUGAACCAGCCAAGUAGCGUGAAGGAUGACUGCCCUAUGGGUUGUAAACUUCUUUUAUAUGGGAAUAAAAUGUUCCACGUGUGGGAUUUUGUAUGUACCAUAUGAAUAAGGAUCGGCUAACUCCGUGCCAGCAGCCGCGGUAAUACGGAGGAUGCGAGCGUUAUCCGGAUUUAUUGGGUUUAAAGGGUGCGUAGGCGGACGCUUAAGUCAGCGGUAAAAUUGCGGGGCUCAACCUCGUCGAGCCGUUGAAACUGGGUGCCUUGAGUGGGCGAGAAGUACGCGGAAUGCGUGGUGUAGCGGUGAAAUGCAUAGAUAUCACGCAGAACUCCGAUUGCGAAGGCAGCGUACCGGCGCCCAACUGACGCUGAAGCACGAAGGCGUGGGUAUCGAACAGGAUUAGAUACCCUAGUA
rnacentral:rRNA from 1 species